CAGCCGCCACGGGAAUACGUAGGUGGCAAGCGUUGUCCGGAAUUAUUGGGCGUAAAGGGCUCGCAGGCGGUUUCUUAAGUCUGAUGUGAAAGCCCCCGGCUCAACCGGGGAGGGUCAUUGGAAACUGGGAAACUUGAGUGCGGAAGAGGAGAGUGGAAUUCCACGUGUAGCGGUGAAAUGCGUAGAGAUGUGGAGGAACACCAGUGGCGAAGGCGACUCUCUGGUCUGUAACUGACGCUGAGGAGCGAAAGCGUGGGGAGCGAACAGGAUUAGAUACCCCUGUAGUCCCUGUCUCUUAUAC
rnacentral:rRNA from 1 species